AGUGGGGAAUAUUGCACAAUGGGCGCAAGCCUGAUGCAGCCAUGCCGCGUGUAUGAAGAAGGCCUUCGGGUUGUAAAGUACUUUCAGCGGGGAGGAAGGCGUUGAGGUUAAUAACCUCAGCGAUUGACGUUACCCGCAGAAGAAGCACCGGCUAACUCCGUGCCAGCAGCCGCGGUAAUACGGAGGGUGCAAGCGUUAAUCGGAAUUACUGGGCGUAAAGC
rnacentral:rRNA from 1 species